rnacentral:misc_RNA from 1 species
GGAAGUAAAAGUCGUAACAAGAUUUCCGUAGGUGAACCUGCGGAAGGAUCAUUAUUGUAUAACCGAGGUGCGAGGGCUGUCGCUGACCCGAAAGGUCGUGCACGCCCGAGUGCCCUCACACACAUCCAUCUCACCCCUAUGUGCACCACCGCGUGGGUCCCCCUUUGGCUUGUUCGGAGGGGGGCUUACGUUUUCACACAGACUUUGUAUGCAGUGUAGAAUGUAUUUUUUGUUUUUGCGAUCACGCAAUCAAUACAACUUUCAACAACGGAUCUCUUGGCUCUC